AGGUUAAAACAGCAAGGGAGAAUUAAGGGAUCGAGGAACAUGCCAUCCCAACCCCCAGGCAGGACAGUGUGUGAUUAUACAGCUAUUAAUACAUGUGUGAACGCUACUUUUCUGUAAAUGACUCCGCGGUUCGAACAAGCUGAAGUACUCGACCAUCUCCGCUAGUGACUCCAACUCCUCUUGUGCGCCGCCCGUUCUCGUGGAGGCAAGUGUCCGGGGAGUGUUUACGUUUAAUAAGACUGAUUUGUGACCGAUGGCUUUAUUAAUAGUGAAACUGGACGUUUAAGAAGAUUCCAUGGCGGGUCUGAUUUCUUUAAAUGCACAGAUCUACACAUUGAGAAUUCAGAGAGAUCUAGGAGAGAAGACUGCAGUGGUGUGGACAUGUGAUGAGCAGAACAGAAGACUAUGUGGGCAGAAGUGUUGAAGAUGAAGGUUGUAGGAAGAGGGAAGAGAGAAGGCCAAGGAGAAGAUAGACAGAUUACAUAGAAGACUUGAUGGCAAAGGGAUUGGAGGAAUGGGACACGAGUGAAAGGAGUAAAUGGAGACGGCAUAGCAGGAACAGUGAAGCCACAUGAAAGAUGGAAAAAACUGAUGUAGCCAUUUGCUGACCAGCCAGAAAGGGAAGAUGAACAGCUGGGUGACCUGGACAUGCAGAGACCACCGUGGGUCAAGACUGAACUGAGGCUUUCGGAUUAGCAACAUUACAUGCUAACCUCUACACUACAUCUUUUUGCAGACCAAAUUUGACUGAAAUAACACUUCAAUAUUCUUCAAAUAUUAUUUCU